GGUUAAAAAUUGCAUCCAUUUAUACUGAUAAAAACUGAUGCGGCUGAUGAAUUGAUUAAAUAAUGACACAUGAUAUGCCAUGUGUACCUCAUGUUGACAUACACUUACUAAUUUAUAAUAGUAGAAAUGGAUGAAAUUUUUAACA
rfam:Gossypium hirsutum cultivar TM-1 chromosome 25, whole genome shotgun sequence